rfam:Orchesella cincta Ocin01_Sc2688, whole genome shotgun sequence.
CCAACGGCCCUUUUAAAGGGCCACCACAAUUUCCAAAGAGCAAACAU